UUAAAAUUAGUUAAACUAUAACACUAUUAUUACGAGAUAGAGUUCCUAAAAAGGAUUUUAAU
rnacentral:tRNA from 1 species